GACGGAGGAGGCUAGCGUUGUUCGGAAUUACUGGGCGUAAAGCGUGCGCAGGUUGUGAGUUCAGUUAGAUGUGAAAGCCCGGGGCUCAACCUCGGAUGUGCAUCUAAUACUGGCUCGCUGGAGGUUGGAAGAGGAGAGUGGAAUUCCCAGUGUAGAGGUGAAAUUCGUAGAUAUUGGGAAGAACACCAGUGGCGAAGGCGGCUCUCUGGUCCAUACCUGACACUCAUGCACGAAAGCGUGGGGAGCAAACAGG
rnacentral:misc_RNA from 1 species